UGGUUUGUAAAGGCGAAAAACCUUACCUACCCUUGACGUGGCUGGAAUCCUUGAGAGAUCAGGGAGUGCUCGAAAGAGAACCAGUACACAGGUGCUGCAUGGCUGUCGUCAGCUCGUGUCGUGAGAUGUUGGGUUAAGUCCCGCAACGAGCGCAACCCUUGUCAUUAGUUGCUACGAAAGGGCACUCUAAUGAGACUGCCGGUGACAAACCGGAGGAAGGUGGGGAUGACGUCAAGUCCUCAUGGCCCUUAUGGGUAGGGCUUCACACGUCAUACAAUGGUACAUACAGAGCGCCGCCAACCCGCGAGGGGGAGCUAAUCGCAGAAAGUGUAUCGUAGUCCGGAUUGUAGUCUGCAACUCGACUGCAUGAAGUUGGAAUCGCUAGUAAUCGCGGAUCAGCAUGUCGCGGUGAAUACGUUCCCGGGCCA
rnacentral:rRNA from 1 species